GCCGCAAGCUCCAUUCAACAUCCAAUGCGGCAGCGGCGUCAAGGGUACCCAACUUGAUUUCAUACACUGUUGGGGGGAAACAAGGGUGCUCUUCAAGCGAAUUGAGUUAUAUUUAUAUUUACAAGACUUGGCAGUACAGAUAGCUGUUGCUAGUAGCAGCAGAUCUGACAAUGUGAUUAAAUUUUGGCUCUAGCGGCA
rnacentral:lncRNA from 1 species